rnacentral:lncRNA from 1 species
AACAGUUUGCUUAGGUUACUUUGCCUGUCAUUAUGUCAAAAUUAAUGUUUGCUUGCCAUGAUUUUCUUUCUUGAGAUUCAGCCUAUCCUCACCCUCAUUUUGUUCUAAUUUGAGCUUGAUGAUAUUGAUUCCAAUCAAGAGGAAUAUAUUGGCCUAUUUUCGGAUUGGUCUUAGUUGGCAGAAUGUAGUCAUUCUCCUGAUGCCUAUUUAUGAUCUAAUGUUGGGUCUUGUUAGUUUUGUUUAAAAUCUAGUGAUGAUUAAUUAGUCAUGGUCACUGCUAGUUAUCUGUUAUUUUGUUCAAUUCAUUUAAUUUGUUUUACUUUAGUUUAAGGGUCGUCAAUUCAUACUCACUUUGAUGCAUUUAUUAUCUUGACCGUAAUCCUCAUUGUCUUUUAAAGCUUCGAUCUUAGGAUGUUAUUAUUGAGUACUCAUUCCUAUCCCUUUUUCUUGUUUGCAUGUGAAAUCUGCCCGAGUUCACCACUAACUCAUUCCUUUCCCUUGCAUUCCGAGAGAGCCAUGAAGGCUCAAAUUCCCUUUAUCGAGUCAGCCAGCCGUAAAAUCGAAGAACAGGACCCGGAGUUGAAAGAAUAUGCAGCAGAUUGGAGAAUUGAAAAGAUUGGGCCACUCUUAAUUCCAGAAGUUGUAUUUUGUUACUUUUGGGCCUAAGCCCACUUAUUUACCAUUAUCUUGUUAGAUUCUAGGACAGGUGGAAUUGGGCCUAAAGCCCAAUAAAAAAUCAGAUUUCUAGGACAGGUGCCAAGUGUUGGGCCAAAGGCCCAAAAACACGAUUAAGCCCAAGUAUCGGCCUAGGCGGACAAAAAUCGAACUUGGGCCCAUCUUCUCUCUUUCGUUAUUCAAUUGACUUUGCAUGCUAGUGUGUUUAUCUAAUUUUAAGGUUUUCCUAAUCAAUGCCCCAAAAGAUAGCCAUUUUGAAUUAACUAUUUAGAAUAAAGUAAAUAUUUUACUUUCACUUAGUCAAGCAUGCUU